AUUGAACGCUGGCGGCAUGCCUUACACAUGCAAGUCGAACGGCAGCACGGGGGCAACCCUGGUGGCGAGUGGCGAACGGGUGAGUAACGCAUCGGAAUGUACCCAGUAGUGGGGGAUAACUAGUCGAAAGACUGGCUAAUACCGCAUACGCACUACGGUGGAAAGCGGGGGAUCGCAAGACCUCGCGCUAUUGGAGCAGCCGAUGUCCGAUUAGGUAGUUGGUGGGGUAAAAGCCUACCAAGCCUGCGAUCGGUAGCUGGUCUGAGAGGACGACCAGCCACACUGGGACUGAGACACGGCCCAGACUCCUACGGGAGGCAGCAGUGGGGAAUUUUGGACAAUGGGGGCAACCCUGAUCCAGCAAUGCCGCGUGUGUGAAGAAGGCCUUCGGGUUGUAAAGCACUUUUGGUGGGAGCGAAACGGCGCUUGCUAAUACCAGGCGCUAAUGACGGUACCCGCAGAAUAAGCACCGGCUAACUACGUGCCAGCCGCCGCAGUAA
rnacentral:rRNA from 1 species